UGGGGAAUAUUGCACAAUGGAGGGAACUCUGAUGCAGCGACGCCGCGUGAACGAAGAAGGCUUUCGAGUCGUAAAGUUCUUUUAUAUGGGAAGAUAAUGACGGUACCUUAAGAAAAAGCCCCGGCUAACUACGUGACAGCAGCCGCGGUAAUACGUAGGGGGCUAGCGUUGUCCGGAAUCACUGGGCGUAAAGGGUUCGCAGGCGGAAAUGCAAGUCAGGUGUAAAAGGCAGUAGCUUAACUACUGUAAGCAUUUGAAACUGCAUAUCUUGAGAAGAGUAGAGGUAAGUGGAAUUUUUAGUGUAGCGGUGAAAUGCGUAGAUAUUAAAAAGAAUACCGGUGGCGAAGGCGGCUUACUGGGCUCAUUCUGACGCUGAGGAACGAAAGCGUGGGUAGCAAACAGG
rnacentral:rRNA from 1 species